rnacentral:lncRNA from 1 species
UAUUUUUAUGUCAUUUUGUACUUACAACAGCUAAAUUUGUCAAACACUUUAAUUUUAUUCUAUUAGCUUUUCAGCUAUAAACUACCAGCCACCAGUUAUCGGCCAUAAACUAGCUUUUCAGCUAUAAGCUAGCUUAUCAGCUAUAGCUAGCUUAUAGCUUAUUUUUACGAAGAAAUCCGUAGUAAACUUUAUAAGUUAGGUCCAUAUAUUUGUUAACAAAAAAAAUGUUAAGCCCAUAUAUACCAAACAAUAACCCUAACCCAUUAAACCAAAUUUAGCCACAACAACAAUUCAUGUGCGCAGCUUUUCUACUUCUUUCUCAUCCCAUCAUUUUCCUUUUUAUCUACUCAAAUUGUACAGCCACAACAACAACCAUGCUCCAUCU